rnacentral:lncRNA from 1 species
AUUUUUAACAAUAAAGUAAAAAAAAUUAGAUAAAAAGUUAAACUAGACCCAAUUUCUCAAUAACUUUUCUUCUAUAUUUGCUCCAUCUUCAAUGACUUUCACUUCCGACUGAAUUCUAUCCAAAUAUCUCUAAUUGAAUAUUAGGAGGAAAACUUUGAAUACCACAACCAUAAAACCUCCCCCCGCCGUACCCAGACUCACCAAAAUCGACCCCCAAUUUUUUGGAAAUCAUAGUUGUCGGUACCCACGGAUCUACAGUCGAAAUCGCAACCGGCGCCAGAAAUCACUACUCAAGUGGGAAAUUAAACACAUCUAGUCACGUUGUAUCAACAACCCAAAUCAAGUGACAACGAUUGACAUCUAAAAGCUUCUCUUUUAGCUCAGCCAUGACGAUCUCGAACAACGUGCGACUCUCUGAGCUCGGUUAAUGUUUUCCUUUUUUGUGAUGGAAGAGUACUUUAACCUUUGAUUGAUGAGCUAUAUAUCGAAUUUGGGGGUUUGGGUUUUGAUUCGUUGCGAUUUAUGUAAUUACGUGAAAAUAAGGAAUGAUUUUGAGUGGGUUUGUAAGAGAGAAAAGAAGAUUAAUGUUGUAAAUAAGAUUUUCUAUUUUGAGUGGGUUUAAGUUUUGAUUUGUUGCGAUUCACUGCUCCGCCUAUUCGGUGAGCUCGUCUCCGACGAUAUCGCCAGCGGGGAGCAUCAUCAAUUCAUCAUCCAAGCUUUUGGCUUUUGAUGUUUGGGCUUCCAAAUUGUUAUUGAAUGAAUAAUAUAUUAACUGUUAUAGAACUAAAGAAAUAAACAGAUUUGUAAGUUAGAAGUUUAGAUAUUUUUUCUCUAUAUUUUGGUGUGUUCUUUCAUUAGAGAGAGGAAAAGUUUUGGCAGACCAGUUUUUUAGACCGG